CAGCAGCCGCGGUAAAACCAGCAGCCCAAGUGGUGGUCGCGAUUAUUGGGCCUAAAGCGCUCGUAGCCGGGCCGGUAAGUCCCUUGUGAAAUCGGACGGCCUAACCGUUCGGCGUGCAAGGGAUACUGUCGGUCUUGAGGCCGGGAGACGUCCGAGGUACUCCGGGGGUAGCGGUGAAAUGUUCUGAUCCUCGGGGGACCACCGGUGGCGAAGGCGUUCGACGAGAACGGGCCUGACGGUGAGGGGCGAAGGCUAGGGGAGCAAACGGGAUUAGAUACCCGAGUAGUCCCUGUCUCUUAUA
rnacentral:rRNA from 1 species